GGCCUCGUAGCUCAGCUUGUAGAGCGUGCGUUAUACAAAGGUGUGGGCGUCGUCCAUGCGUGGGUUUGAAUCCCACCGAGGCUA
rnacentral:tRNA from 1 species